GUCUCAAAGAUUAAGCCAUGCAUGUCUAAGUAUAAGCAACUAUACUGUGAAACUGCGAAUGGCUCAUUAAAUCAGUUAUCGUUUAUUUGAUAGUACCUUUACCUGGAUAACCGUGGUAAUUCUAGAGCUAAUACAUGCUAAAAACCUCGACUUCGGAAGGGGUGUAUUUAUUAGAUAAAAAACCAAUGCCCUUCGGGGCUCCUUGGUGAAUCAUAAUAACUUAACGAAUCGCAUGGCCUUGCGCCGGCGAUGGUUCAUUCAAAUUUCUGCCCUAUCAACUUUCGAUGGUAAGAUAGAGGCUUACCAUGGUCUUAACGGGUAACGGGGAAUUAGGGUUCUAUUCCGGAGAGGGAGCCUGAGAAACGGCUACCACAUCCAAGGAAGGCAGCAGGCGCGCAAAUUACCCAAUCCCGACACGGGGAGGUAGUGACAAUAAAUACUGAUACGGGGCUCUUUUGGGUCUCGUAAUUGGAAUGAGUACAAUCUAAAUCCCUUAACGAGGAACAAUUGGAGGGCAAGUCUGGUGCCAGCAGCCGCGGUAAUUCCAGCUCCAAUAGCGUAUAUUAAAGUUGUUGCCGUUAAAAAGCUCGUAGUUGAACCUUGGGCCUGGCUGACCUGUCCUCCUAAUCGAGCGCACGGGUUCGGUCGGGCCUUUCCUUCUAGGGAACCCCAUGCCCUUCACUGGGUGUGGUGGGGAACUAGGAC
rnacentral:rRNA from 2 species